CACGUAGGGCGCGAGCGUUGUCCGGAAUUAUUGGGCGUAAAGAGCUCGUAGGCGGCUCAGUAAGUCAGGUGUGAAAACUCCAGGCUCAACCUGGAGACGCCACUUGAUACUGCUGUGGCUAGAGUCCGGUAGGGGAGCAUGGAAUUCCUGGUGUAGCGGUGAAAUGCGCAGAUAUCAGGAGGAACACCAGUGGCGAAGGCGGUGCUCUGGGCCGGAACUGACGCUGAGGAGCGAAAGCGUGGGAGCAAACAGG
rnacentral:rRNA from 1 species